rnacentral:rRNA from 1 species
AGUGAACGCUGGCGGUAGGCCUAACACAUGCAAGUCGAACGGCAGCACAGUAAGAGCUUGCUCUUACGGGUGGCGAGUGGCGGACGGGUGAGGAAUACAUCGGAAUCUACUUUUUCGUGGGGGAUAACGUAGGGAAACUUACGCUAAUACCGCAUACGACCUACGGGUGAAAGCAGGGGAUCUUCGGACCUUGCGCGAUUGAAUGAGCCGAUGUCGGAUUAGCUAGUUGGCGGGGUAAAGGCCCACCAAGGCGACGAUCCGUAGCUGGUCUGAGAGGAUGAGCAGCCACACUGGAACUGAGGCACGGUCCAGACUCCUACGGGAGGCAGCAGUGGGGAAUAUUGGACAAUGGGCGCAAGCCUGAUCCAGCCAUACCGCGUGGGUGAAGAAGGCCUUCGGGUUGUAAAGCCCUUUGUUGGGAAAGAAAAGCAGCAGGUUAAUACCCCGCUGUUCUGACGGUACCCAAAGAAUAAGCACCGGCUAACUUCGU